CCCUUAGAUGUUCUGAACCGCACGCGUGUUACACUGAUGCAUUCAACGAGCUUUACCUUGGCCGAGAGGCCUGGGAAAUCUUUUUAGCAUACAUCGUGAUAGGGAUUGAUUAUUGCAAUUAUUAAUCAUGAACGAGGAAUUCCUAGUAAACGCAUUUCAUCAAAAUGCAUUGAUUACGUCCCUGCCCUUUGUACACACCGCCCGUCGCACCUACCGAUUGAGUGGUCCGGUGAAGUCUCGAGAUUGUGGCAAUCUCCUUUAUUGGAGUUUGACUGCGAGAACUUGCCUAAACCUUAUCACUUAGAGGAAGGUGAAGUCGUAACA
rnacentral:rRNA from 1 species